rnacentral:rRNA from 1 species
AGAGUUUGAUCCUGGCUCAGGAUGAACGCUAACGGCAGGCCUAAUACAUGCAAGUCGAGGGGUAAUCACACUUUCGGGUGUGAACGACCGGCGCACGGGUGCGUAACGCGUAUGCAACCUACCCACAACUGGGGGAUAGCCCGGAGAAAUCCGGAUUAAUACCCCAUAAUGCAGGGGUACUGCAUGGUACUAUUUGCUAAAGAUUUAUCGGUUGUGGAUGGGCAUGCGUCUGAUUAGUUAGUUGGUGAGGUAACGGCUCACCAAGGCGACGAUCAGUAGGGGGUCUGAGAGGAUGAUCCCCCACACUGGUACUGAGAUACGGACCAGACUCCUACGGGAGGCAGCAGUAGGGAAUAUUGGUCAAUGGGCGGAAGCCUGAACCAGCCAUGCCGCGUGCAGGAUGACGGCCUUCUGGGUUGUAAACUGCUUUUAUCAGGGAAGAAAACGGUCAUGCGUGACAGAUUGACGGUACCUGAAGAAUAAGCACCGGCUAACUCCGUGCCAGCAGCCGCGGUAAUACGGAGGGUGCAAGCGUUGUCCGGAUUUAUUGGGUUUAAAGGGUGCGUAGGCGGAUUAUUAAGUCAGUGGUGAAAGUUUGCGGCUCAACCGUAAAAGUGCCAUUGAUACUGGUAGUCUUGAGUACAGUAGAGGUAGGCGGAAUUUAUGGUGUAGCGGUGAAAUGCAUAGAUACCAUAAAGAACACCGAUAGCGAAAGCAGCUUACUAUACUGAGACUGACGCUGAGGCACGAAAGCGUGGGGAGCGAACAGGAUUAGAUACCCUGGUAGUCCACGCUGUAAACGAUGAAGACUCGCUGUUGGCGAUACACAGCCAGUGGCCCAGCGAAAGCGUUAAGUCUUCCACCUGGGGGAGUACGAUCGCAGAUUGAAACUCAAAGGAUUGACGGGGUCCGCCACAGCGGUGGAGCAUGGUGAUUUAUCGAUGAUACCGCGAGAACUUAACUUGGGCCUAGAUGCUUGCAUUCAGCAACGAGUCUCGACAUUGCAAGUCGUCAUGUGUGCUCACGACCUCUGUCC